rnacentral:rRNA from 1 species
UACGUAGGGUGCAAGCGUUGUCCGGAAUUAUUGGGCGUAAAGAGCGUGUAGGCGGCCCGGUUAGUCCGCUGUGAAAGUCCAGGGCUCAACCCUGGAAUGCCGGUGGAUACUGUCGGGCUAGAGUCCGGAAGGGGCGAGUGGAAUUCCUGGUGUAGCGGUGGAAUGCGCAGAUAUCAGGAGGAACACCAAUGGCGAAGGCAGCUCGCUGGGACGGUACUGACGCUGAGGUGCGAAAGCGUGGGGAGCGAACAGG